rnacentral:lncRNA from 10 species
GGGAGCAGGUAGGAUGCCAGGAUGGGACUCGCAUCUGCUCUGGUUGAUGAGGCGCUGUGAGGAUGGCAGGGAAUGUUCUUCCCUCAGGAGGUGAGGAGAAGGUCUCUCACUCCCACAGCUUCUUCUGGUACUUUCUGGUAGAUUAGCCCAAGACCCCUGCUUUCGGAUGAACAACCUUGUUCCCUUCUGCUUGUGAGAGUUUGUCUAAGACAUAUCCCCAGAAAUGAAGUAGCUUUUCCAACUAUCAUGACACUGUUCAUCAAAAAAAAAUUAUAUCAGGACCUGAACCUGUAAAACAACUGGAAGAAAACAUAGGGAAAAUCUCCAUGACGUUGGUCUUGGCGAUAUCUUGAGUAUUACCCAAAAAGCACAGGUAAUGAAAGCAAAAAUAGACAAAUGGGAUGGCAUCAAAUGCAAAAGCUUCUGCACACCACAGGAAACCAUCAGGAGUGAAUAGACAGCCUGCAGAAUGGGAGAAAAUACUUGCAAACCAUAUAGCUGAUAAAAGGUUAGUAUCCAAAAUAUAUAAGAUACCCAAACAACUCAACAGCAAGAAAACAGAUAACCUCGUUAAAAAAUGGGCAAUGAAUUGCGAUUUCUCUAAAGAAGACACACAAAGGACCAACAGGUUUAUAAAGUGCCCAGCAUGGCUAAUCAUCAGAGAAUGCAAAUUAAAACCACAAUGAAAUAUCACCUCACACUCGCAAGAAUGGCUUUUAUCAAAAAGAUGAAAGAUAAGUCGUAUUAGUCCAUUCUUGCAUUGCAUAUAAAGAAAUACCUGAGACUGGAUAAUUUAUAAAGAAAAGAGGUUUCGUUGGCUUAUGGUUCCACAGGCUGUACAGGAAGCAUGAUGCUGGCAUCUACUCGGCUUCUGGGGAGACUUAAGGAAAUUUAAAAUCACGGUAGAAGGCGAAGAAGAAGGACACACAUCACGUGGCCAGAGUAGGAGCAAGAGAGAAAGGGAAGGAGCUGCUACAUACUUUUAAACAGCCCGGUCUAUGAGAACUCUCUCACUAUCUAUGACGAGGACAAUACCAAGGGAGAGGGCGCUAAACCAUUCAUGAGAAACCACCCCCAUGAUCCAAUCACAUCCCACCAGGCCCCACUUCCAACAGUGGGGAUUACAAUUCCACAUGAGAUUUUGGCAGGAACACAGAUACAUGCCAUAUCGCAAGAGUAGAGAUAUAAAAAAUGAAACUACCAUAUAAUUCAACAAUCCCAC